ensembl:rRNA 5S_rRNA 5S ribosomal RNA
GCUUAUGGCCACACCGCCUGGUUCACGUCCGAUCUCGUUUGAUCUCGGAAGCUAAAAUAGGUUGGGCCUGGUUAGUACUUGGAUGGGAGACCGCCUGGGAAUACCAGGUGCUGUAAGCU